UCCGGCUCAUCACCAGCAGUCUCCUUAGAGUCCCCACCAUAACGUGUUGGUAACUAAGGACAAGGGUUGCGCUCGUUACGGGACUUAACCCAACAUCUCACAACACGAGCUGACGACAGCCAUGCAGCACCUGUCUCUAAGCUCCUUUCGGCACUCUCACAUCUCUGCAAGAUUCUUAGGAUGUCAAGGGUAGGUAAGGUUCUUCGCGUUGCAUCGAAUUAAACCACAUGCUCCACCGCUUGUGCGGGCCCCCGUCAAUUUCUUUGAGUUUUAAUCUUGCGACCGUACUCCCCAGGCGGAGGACUUAUCGCGUUAGCUUCGAUACCGAUAGGUCUAAGCCUACCAACAUCUAGUCCUCAUAGUUUACAGCGUGGACUAC
rnacentral:misc_RNA from 1 species